AUUAACAAUUUCUAAAUAGUUAAUUAAUGAAUAUUUAUAAUUUUUAAAUUUUAUUAUGGUUGUAUAAAAUAAUUAAAUUUUUUUAUUCUAAGGUGGUUGAGGAGAGAGAAUUUUUAAUCUUUUUAAAUUUUAUUACUUAUUUAUACAUUCUCACCCCUCAUCAUUUUCCAGGUGAUGCGGAUAGUGAAGAUUGGGACAGUACGUGAGGACGAUACUAGAUAGUUGUAUUUCAGAUCCUUCUGUUGUUGACGUUUACUAUCAUUCAGUUGGAUUAGUUUAGUUCUUUACCUAGCAAUGUUUAAAUAUAACUGAUGUAUGUGAAUCAUAAUUUUUAUAUGAUCAUCAUGUUAUUUGUGUUGUGUGGUUGUAUGUGUAGUUGACUAUAUUUUGAGUUGAUACACCGUGCAUGUAUAAGAAAGAUUGU
rnacentral:lncRNA from 1 species